GCAAGACUCUCUGCUCAUUUUCCCAAGACUCGACUCUUGGUUCAUUCCCCCAAAAUUAACCCCCAAUUUCAUAACCCUCCAAUUCCAAACCUUCUGUGAAAUCUGAAGGAGGAAAUUAUAUUUCCACGCCUAAAGCAAGACUCUUAGGUCAUUCCCCCCAAAUUAACCCCAAUUUCAUAACCCUCCAGUUCCAAAUCUGCUGCGAAAUUUGAAGGAGCGAUUGUGAGGGAUUUGGGAUGAUUUCAUGGCUGAAGGAGAAGGAAGUGGCCGGCGAUUAGGGAUUGAGCAAAGCUGAAGGAAAGGGGACGGGAGGUCAGCUUCUACUAUCAGAUCCAGCACACAGAGCUGGCUUUGAAGUAUGUAGCUCUAAAAGUUGUCUUUGAUUGUUCAACUAUUUGUCAUUUCUCACAUUUCCUGAUGGUUUUACUCUGAUUUCCAUCUACUGUAAAUAAUUAUUGAAUGUGGGAUUUGUGAUGUUUUAGCAUGGAGUCAAAAGAUAUUGCAGUGUAUAUCCAAAAGAUAAAAUUCACAAGAUAUUGUAGUGUAGUGCUUCUAACAGAUAUAGAAAAGAAGGAAACCAAGGGAGAUUUAUAAACAGAAUACAGAGUUCUCAAUGUGCAUCACAAGUUUUUCUUUUUUCAUUUUUUUGACAGAGGCAAUGGCAUCACAAGUUUUUAAUUCUGUUCAAGUGGAUUUGCCAGUUGAAAACAUUUUGAGAUAUGCUUCAACCAUUCUACAAGAUAACAUUUCUACCGAGCGAAGUUAUAUUUGCGUUAAAACGAAAAAAAUUGGACCUUUUAGAAAAAGAGAAAUGAAAUGCAAAUGGUCACUCCAAAUUUAAAAUUCCAAUCAAGCAAAAUCUCCAAGUUUUCCUCAAAUGGUCUCUCCAAAUUUCAAUUCAUUGAAAUAUGAAUUCCAGUUAAUUCUUUCAAGGGGUACAAGAACCCAAUCUAUGGUAGAGAAGGAACUCUCAAAUAACUGAAAUGGUAUGAGCUAAUGACAUAACAAUAUAAUGUUGAAUAGGGAGCACAACGAUGUUAUUAGUUCGACCCAAAUUGUUUUUCCUGGGGUCAGCCCCCAAUCGCAUUCUUGGAUAUUCUUGAAAUAGACAUAUUGUCGGAAUAGGAGGCAAGGUGGGAAAUCCAUCCUAAAUAGGAGACCAUGAAGUUAAGUUAGGAAGAAUUUUGCAAUCCAUACGGUUUUUCAUAGAUCUCGGACGCAUAAAGAAAUAUGUACCAUUUCAGAUAUCUUUAAAAGUAUAAACCAAUAUAUAUAGAUAGUAAUAAAGAAUAUAAGUAACGAGGUAUUCCUUUCAAUCAUGUAGCAUGACAGUGCUUUGGGGAAUUCAAUAUUAUGGUUAAGAAGGAUUCCUCGUUAGUUGAUGUUCUAGAGGAAUAGGGAAUACUCUAUGAAAGAGUUCACUAGUGAAUAUCUAAGAUUGACUUUUGUCAAGUGUUGAACAUGCUUGUAGGGUUAGGAGUCUUUGACAGGAUCCAUUUUUCGAUUUCUUUUUAGUACAAUGUAUCCUUAGUUGGAUUAGUUGUGACCAAACAGUGCAAUAUCUUUCAAUAAUGCAUAUCUAGAUAUAUCUCUUAGGGAAAAAAUACAAAUAAAAUUUCACCUGCAUAAAAGUUUUGCUUACAUUUAAAAUGCAGAAUCUUGGAUUUCAAAACAUUGAGCCUGUGCCAAAUUUUCAAACAUCUAACCACAUGUCAUAAUUAAAAAACUAUUUAGAAGAUGACAAAAAAUAUUUUGCUUGAAAGAAAUAAAGUUAUUGAGGUCUUCGUAUAAAGUUGUACCAGUAUAGGUCAUAUUUCAUUAGCGAUGUGCCGUUAGAUUAUGCUAAAUAUUAGCCCUUUCAUUGAUAAUGUAUGCUUAGACGAGGCUAAUUCUUAACCCUUUGUUGCAUUAUCCAUAUGGGAAAAAUCAUUUUUCUUUUACUGCAUUAUAAACAAGAAUGUUAUAUUUAAUUUCGUUUGUACGUUCUCAUACUAUUUGUUAAAGUGUUGUUUUCAUUUGUUUUGAUUUGUAGAUGAGUAUGACACACCGAUAUAAAAUUUUGGAGGAAGAACGUGUUCCGGCUCAUGUGUUGCAGGUGAGCAAUACAAAAUACAUAUCAGUUGUCCUUAACUAAUUGGAUCCACAACAAAAGCGUCAGUUGGAGGAGAGUUGUAUAGGACAUGUUGCAAGGUUACCGGAGCUGAAACUAUCCGCUUAAUUAAUUCAUGAAAUGGUAAAUAGAUCGGUGGUCUCCAAAAGCAGUUUGAGGCUUGUUUCAAGGUGAACCAAAGGUUCACAUGAUUUGGACUACCGGAGUUCGCAUUAAUUACCGGCUUGCAGUGCGGUCUAGUGCCUACAGGUAUCGAAGUAGACAAAAUCCUAAAGAAAACCCGUCUAUAGGAAAGAACGUUUGCUAAUAUGGACCGGAUAACUUGUAGCAACCUGGAGAAAGUUUUUUUUUGAAAUGUGCCAACCGUAAUGAUCGUUACAAUCUUGGGUUGGCACUAAUUAUUGAAGGGGUAUUUAAUUCAAGAGAUUGAAAUGUAGGAAUACAUCCGACAACUCUCUCCAUCGUUGACGACUUAGAUUUCUUCAAUGCCUACCCAUGGGGAACGGUAUGGUUUCAACUUCUCAUCAAAUCACUGCUACGUGGAUGGGGAAGAAAGGCAGAGAUGGCAAAAGUGAACGAUUGUGAUAGGAUGACUUACACGUUAUACGGAUUUCCUCUUGCUGUCCAAGUAUACAUCUAUUUUGGUUCAUUUCAGUUCUUUUCAUCGCACAUUGUUAUUUACCUCCAAAUAUGGUUAUUAAUGUUAUAAAUGUCAUGCAGAUUUGGGCGUAUUAGGCAAUCCCGGACUUGGGAGCUCAAUUUUCAAGUAAGACUUGUGACGAUGUCCCAAGGAUGUUGCGGUAGUUUGGUAUGAAACAACCUCAUUCUCGAACAUAUUCAGAUUUUUUUGAGAAGACAGAUGUAAACGAUUUACAUACGUAAUUGCCUUACACAUUCGCAAUUUAUAAUAUUUCAUUUCGCCUAUUUUCCUUCCCCUAUAGGUGCACUUGUGGGUAACGCCGCGCAACUGCUGCAGAAGAAUUGCACCCGUACUUUGCUGAUUUAGUUCCGUUGGAAGAACAUAGCUGACCCCGUUCUAGAUGGUCUUGUUGCUCAAUCAAUAGAAAUACAAGCUUGUCCAGUUGAAGAUGAUGUCAUACGGAAUGAUGACAACAACCAUUGACCAAAUAAAUCGUAGAGAGGCAACAAAGGUGGACCUCGUCAUCGAGGUUUGCAUCACGUUGAAGGCAGAGAAGAAUAUUAUAGGGAUCCGAUCAUUGAAAGACCUAUGUCUUUAGAUGAGAUAAGAGCUAUCUUGAACGAACAACGGGAGGCAAUUGAGAGCAAGAUGGGCAAUUUGAUGGAAGAGAUGAACGCUAGAUUCGCUAGUCUCCAAAAUGAUCUGGGAGACCAUGUGUGUGGUUUGAGAAAUCAUGUCACUGAUAAGAUCAAUGUGCUUCGACGAAGGUUUGAUGAAGUUGCUACAGAAAUUGGGCAACACAAUCUUGCUGAUGAGUAUGGUGGAUUUGGUCAUGACGAUUGUGGUGGAGACGAGCCCCGACGUGACAGACAGGAUGUUGGAGAGGCAACCGAAUCAGUUGUUUGCAAUAUCCCUAAUGUGUCCAUAACUUCGGGAGGUGGGGUUGGCGUAUUUGGGUCAGUAUACGUUGCUUGUGAUAUUGUGAAAGAGGCACCAGCCAUUGUACCUACAGUUGGUGUGACUGUUGAUGAUCAGCCGGUUCAUGAUACUGUCGUUAUUGGACCUUUAAUGGUUGUUGAUCCACCUAUACGUAGACCUCGAUUGCUGAGGUUGAAGAAGGCUAGUGCGAACACAAAGACGCCAUACACCCGAUCUGGUCGCAAGAGGGGUAAGAGGGAUGCGUAGUCUGUGUAUUUUGGUUGACGGCACAUAAUGGUGAUUAGAUAUGAACUUCAAGUUGAUUCAAAUUUAGAGGUUCGCAUAUUUUGGUUUAUAUGGUGGUUUUGCAAUAUAUAUUUUGGUUUAUGUCAUGGUACGUAAUAUGUAUUUUGGUUUACACAGUGGUUUGCAUAUUUUUGUUUAUAUGGUGGUAUGUAAUAUUUUGUGGAUGCAAACUUAUGGUUUAUAUGUUAGUGGCAUGUUCGAAAGGUUGUAUGUUGAAAAUAUUUUAUAACUUUAUUAUCUCCUAUAGUGGACCAGUAUUAUGCAUUAAUAAAUAUUCAGACUAAUCG
rnacentral:lncRNA from 1 species